rnacentral:rRNA from 1 species
AAAAAAGGUAAGCUACUAAGAGCGAAUGGUGGAUGCCUUGACUGGUAAAGGCGAUGAAGGACGUACUAGACUGCGAUAAGCUACGGGGAGCUGUCAAGAAGCUUUGAUCCGUAGAUUUCCGAAUGGGGCAACCCAAUGUAUAGAGAUAUACAUUACCUAUAUAGGAGCGAACGAGGGGAAUUGAAACAUCUUAGUACCCUCAGGAAAAGAAAUCAAUAGAGAUUGCGUCAGUAGCGGCGAGCGAAAGCGCAAGAGGGCAAACCCAGUGCUUGCACUGGGGGUUGUAGGACUGCAAUGUGCAAGAGCUGAGUUUAGCAGAACAUUCUGGAAAGUAUAGCCAUAGAGGGUGAUAGUCCCGUAUGCGAAAAACAAAGCUUAGCUAGCAGUAUCCUGAGUAGGGCGGGACACGAGGAAUCCUGUCUGAAUCCGGGUCGACCACGAUCCAACCCUAAAUACUAAUACCAGAUCGAUAGUGCACAAGUACCGUGAGGGAAAGGUGAAAAGAACUGAGGUGAUCAGAGUGAAAUAGAACCUGAAACCAUUUGCUUACAAUCAUUCAGAGCACUAUGUAGCAAUACAGUGUGAUGGACUGCCUUUUGCAUAAUGAGCCUGCGAGUUGUGGUGUCUGGCAAGGUUAAGCAAACGCGAAGCCGUAGCGAAAGCGAGUCUGAAUAGGGCGCUUAGUCAGAUGCUGCAGACCCGAAACGAAGUGAUCUAUCCAUGAGCAAGUUGAAGCUAGUGUAAGAACUAGUGGAGGACUGAACCCAUAGGCGUUGAAAAGCCCCGGGAUGACUUGUGGAUAGGGGUGAAAGGCCAAUCAAACUUCGUGAUAGCUGGUUCUCUCCGAAAUAUAUUUAGGUAUAGCGUUGUGUCGUAAUAUAAGGGGGUAGAGCACUGAAUGGGCUAGGGCAUACACCAAUGUACCAAACCCUAUCAAACUCCGAAUACCUUAUAUGUAAUCACAGCAGUCAGGCGGCGAGUGAUAAAAUCCGUCGUCAAGAGGGAAACAACCCAGACUACCAGCUAAGGUCCCUAAAUCUUACUUAAGUGGAAAACGAUGUGAAGUUACUUAAACAACCAGGAGGUUGGCUUAGAAGCAGCCAUCCUUUAAAGAAAGCGUAAUAGCUCACUGGUCUAGUGAUUUUGCGCGGAAAAUAUAACGGGGCUAAAGUAAGUACCGAAGCUGUAGACUUGCACACAACUUAGAUUAUUUAAGUUUAGAAUAAGUAGUUUAAGUUGUGUGCAAGUGGUAGGAGAGCGUUCUAUUUGCGUCGAAGGUAUACCGGUAAGGAGUGCUGGAGCGAAUAGAAGUGAGCAUGCAGGCAUGAGUAGCGAUAAUUAAUGUGAGAAUCAUUAACGCCGUAAACCCAAGGUUUCCUACGCGAUGCUCGUCAUCGUAGGGUUAGUCGGGUCCUAAGUCGAGUCCGAAAGGGGUAGACGAUGGCAAAUUGGUUAAUAUUCCAAUACCAACAUUAGUGUGCGAUGGAAGGACGCUUAGGGCUAAGGGGGCUAGCGGAUGGAAGUGCUAGUCUAAGGUUGUAGGAGGUUAUACAGGCAAAUCCGUAUAACAAUACUCCGAGAACUGAAAGGCUUUUUGAAGUCUUCGGAUGGAUAGAAGAACCCCUGAUGCCGUCGAGCCAAGAAAAGUUUCUAAGUUUAGCUAAUGUUGCCCGUACCGUAAACCGACACAGGUGGGUGGGAUGAGUAUUCUAAGGCGCGUGGAAGAACUCUCUUUAAGGAACUCUGCAAAAUAGCACCGUAUCUUCGGUAUAAGGUGUGGUUAGCUUCGUACUAGGAUUUACUCCGAAAGCGAAGAAACUUACAACAAAGAGUCCCUCCCGACUGUUUACCAAAAACACAGCACUCUGCUAACUCGUAAGAGGAUGUAUAGGGUGUGACGCCUGCCCGGUGCUCGAAGGUUAAUUGAUGGGGUUAGCAUUAGCGAAGCUCUUGAUCGAAGCCCGAGUAAACGGCGGCCGUAACUAUAACGGUCCUAAGGUAGCGAAAUUCCUUGUCGGUUAAAUACCGACCUGCAUGAAUGGCGUAACGAGAUGGGAGCUGUCUCAAAGAGGGAUCCAGUGAAAUUGUAGUGGAGGUGAAAAUUCCUCCUACCCGCGGCAAGACGGAAAGACCCCGUGGACCUUUACUACAGCUUGACACUGCUACUUGGAUAAGAAUGUGCAGGAUAGG